GCGUUGGCCAAAGUCUAUCCUUAGAUAUGUCGCACGAUAGGCCAAUUCUGUAAGAGUAGCUAAUUAGCUAUUGCAGAAAAGUGAUCCUAAUAGACGGGUUUAGAAAGCAGACAAAGUACUUUUUGCUUCUCCUGUAUAUAAUAUCCUAUAAUUAUGGAAUCUCACUUUAACUUCAUUUUCUUUAUUCUUUUCUCUUCUACUGUCACUUCAAAUACUUAAAAUUCCCAAUAAAGGUUGGCAAAAUCUCUUGAACUCUUGUUGAAAUUGAAAUUUGGGAAAGUAUUAAUUGAACUAUCGUGAAAUAUAGUUAAAAAGAGUUGAGUUGGAUAAGAGAAGGUACUUCUCGUGCUUAUGAUGGAUUUGGGAUAUUAUAAUUAUAGAUCAAAGUAAAUCACUUUUCUUAACUCUACGCAAAGCUAGAUAAUAGGAUAAAACAAAAGCUAUAUUUAAGUCUUUUGAGAGAUUACCGGUCUAAUUAAAUGACUCUUAAUCCGUCUUAGCCUAGGAAUGAUGUGGCAGCAUGUCAAAACCCCCGUAACUGCCGGAAUAAAGGGCCAUCACUUCCUUCCACUAUUACUAUAUGUUACUUAAUGCAGACUUUUUCUCCACCCUCUCUCGAAACCGAUGACACGACUUUCUUCCCACUGAUAGAGAAUUACUUUUCUUUCCAUUCAAAAUCAGAGUAAGAGUACAGAUUUUCAACCGGUAGUACCUUCCCUCUCUGUUGCUGCAUCUUCUUAUCCUCCUUUUUUCCUUUUCCCUUCUCCCUUUUUCAUUAGAGUUCCAUCUCUGUCUUUUGAUGUUCAGAUUAUUUUUGCAGAUUUGAUUCAUUAUGUUUUUUGGUCUAAUGUGCCUUGCUCUGUAAAAUUUUGCAACUUUGUUGUUCAAUUUUGUCUCACUGAUUUGCUCAAUCAAAUCACUUAUUUCCUCUUUUCAGGUUUCAGGAAUCGCUCUCUACAUCAAAUCUCGAUUCUCUCGGUCAACAUUCUGAGCGCUAAUCUACCCAUUUGGGUUUUCUGAUUACAACUGCUUCUUGAAUGUGUUUAACUACUUCGGUGAAACACUUCACUUCUUCUCUUUUAUCAUGUUAAUUAAUUCCCUAUUCCCUCUUAUAUUUUGAUUAUUUAUACCUUUGUGACAGAGAUGUGGCCAAGGGCAAAACAAGGGCCUAUAACAGACACUCUUGGAACUUCUAUUGGUUCAUCAUUUAUACUUUACGUAUUAUUUUCAUCUGCUUUUUGUUUUAAUUAUUUUAUGAAUCAUUUAGGGAAAAUGCUUUAUUGUUGUUGGUGACGCCUUUCAACUGUUAGAGAGACUUAUUUUGCCUAUCAUGUAAUGUGGAUUCUACAUUUUAAUUUUCAUGUUAGUAGGUAAAUUUGUCAUUAUUGGCAGCAAGUAUUGCCCUCUCAGUUUAAGUACCACGUCGAGGAAACAGGACAACUCAAACUAAUUCAAUGCCAUGUCAUUGCGCGUGCACCUCACUGCUGCUUAUCACUUGCUAACAACUCAAAAUGAUAUGACAAAGAAUGUAAACCAUAAGAAGAGGGUCAAGGAACUUGGAGCAUAUGUAAAGAAGUUGUGUCUUUAGCAGAACCUUCAACACAGCACAACCACCAUCAUGCAAAAAUUAAAGGUGCUGGAAUGACAAGACCAAAACCGAUAUUGCAGUCUCAGCAGCUGAAAAAAGCACUUGAGCAGCUCAAAACACAAUGAAUUCAUUGGAAAGAGAACUGCAAGAUAAUUUCUUAAUGUUUCAAUCGUAUUUAAAGAGGGAAAAAAUUAAAAGUUUAAUUCAGUCCUUUAAAAUUCAAAGCAUUCAAAUGGCAAUAAAGUAUGUAGAAUGAGGGGAAUAAUUCUAUAUAAAGAAGAAUAUUUCAUUAAAUUAAAAUGUGAUUUGAUAUCUUGUAGAAUGGUUUUUUUUUCCAACUUUUACUUCUAAAAGCUGUUAGCCACAGAAUUUUAGACAAUGAUAGAUGGAAUCAAGAAGGCAUUAGUCAACUCA